rnacentral:rRNA from 1 species
AUUAAACGCUGGCGGCAUGCCUUACACAUGCAAGUCGAACGGUAGCGCGGGGCAACCUGGCGACGAGUGGCGAACGGGUGAGUAAAGCAUCGGAACGUGCCCUGGAAUGGGGGAUAACGUAGCGAAAGUUACGCUAAUACCGCAUAUUCUGUGAGCAGGAAAGCAGGGGAUCGCAAGACCUUGCGUUCUGGGAGCGGCCGAUGUCGGAUUAGCUAGUUGGUGGGGUAAAAGCCUACCAAGGCGACGAUCCGUAGCGGGUCUGAGAGGAUGAUCCGCCACACUGGGACUGAGACACGGCCCAGACUCCUACGGGAGGCAGCAGUGGGGGAAUUUUUGGACAAUGGGCGGAAGCCUGAUCCAGCCAUGCCGCGUGAGUGAAGAAGGCCUGG